UGGGGAAUCUUGCACAAUGGGGGAAACCCUGAUGCAGCGACGCCGCGUGAGCGAUGAAGGUUUUCGAAUCGUAAAGCUCUGUCCUAUGGGAAGAUAAUGACGGUACCAUGGGAGGAAGCCCCGGCUAACUACGUGCCAGCAGCCGCGGUAAUACGUAGGGGGCGAGCGUUGUCCGGAAUUACUGGGCGUAAAGGGUUCGCAGGCGGCAUGGCAAGUCCGAUGUAAAAGGCGAAGGCUCAACCUUCGUAAGCAUCGGAAACUGUCAAGCUUGAGUGAAGGAGAGGCAAGUGGAAUUCCUAGUGUAGCGGUGGAAUGCGUGGAUAUUAGGAGGAAUACCGGUGGCGAAGGCGACUUGCUGGACUUCAACUGACGCUGAGGAACGAAAGCGUGGGUAGCAAACAGG
rnacentral:rRNA from 1 species